UNCCACGUGUAGCAGUGAAAUGCGUAGAGAUGUGGAGGAAUACCGAUGGCGAAGGCAGCNUCCUGGGAUAACACUGACGUUCAUGCUCGAAAGCGUGGGUAGCAAACAGGAUUAGAUACCCUGGUAGUNCACGCCCUAAACGAUGUCAAUUAGCUGUUGGGCAACUUGAUUGCUUAGUAGCGUAGCUAACGCGUGAAAUUGACCGCCUGGGGAGUACGGUCGCAAGAUUAAAACUCAAAGGAAUUGACGGGGACCCGCACAAGCGGUGGAUGAUGUGGAUUAAUUCGAUGCAACGCGAAGAACCUUACCUGGUCUUGACAUGUACGGAAUCCUCCAGAGACGGAGGAGUGCCUUCGGGAGCCGUAACACAGGUGCUGCAUGGCUGUCGUCAGCUCGUGUCGUGAGAUGUUGGGUUAAGUCCCGCAACGAGCGCAACCCUUGUCAUUAGUUGCCAUCAUUUAGUUGGGCACUCUAAUGAGACUGCCGGUGACAAGCCGGAGGAAGGUGGGGAUGACGUCAAGUCCUCAUGGCCCUUAUGACCAGGGCUUCACACGUCAUACAAUGGUCGGUACAGAGGGUAGCCAAGCCGCGAGGUGGAGCCAAUCUCACAAAACCGAUCGUAGUCCGGAUUGCACUCUGCAACUCGAGUGCAUGAAGUCGGAAUCGCUAGUAAUCGCAGGUCAGCAUACUGCGGUGAAUACGUUCCCGGGUCUUGUACACACCGCCCGUCACACCAUGGGAGUGGGGGAUACCAGAAGUAGGUAGG
rnacentral:rRNA from 1 species